AGUCACAUAUGGGUGAAUUAGAUUCACCCAUAUGUGAAUCCAAUUCACAUAUGGGUGAAUCUAAAUCAGCCAUAUGUGAAU
rnacentral:miRNA from 1 species